AGCCGCCGAGGCCCCUGCUGCCCAGGUCGCCAUGUUCCCCGCGGUGGCCAGCCGGGCUCUCGCCGCAGGCCGCCCACCCCACUCCGGCCUCCACCGCCUCUCUCUUCCCGCGGCGGAAGGAGGUGAUGGAGCGACCUCCAGGCACUGGGCAGCCGCGGCUUCCCCAGCAGCCGGCGGGGCGAGGAGAAAGACGCCAGGAAGCAAAAGGUGCCGCCAGCCAGAGGGUCGCCCCGGGGCUGCGCCCACUGGUUCCUGCCCACGAGCAGCUGCCGGGACCCUCCCUGCCAUGUUGCUCCCUGGAAAGUACUAAGGCUCUCCCGCCUGCAGGGAGGGACACUUUUCCUCACUAUGGUGAAGCCCUCUAUUGUCCUUACUCCCAAGUUCCUGUCCCAUGACCAGGGCCAGUUCACCAAGGAGCCGCAGCAGCACGUAAAGUCAGUGCCAUCCCCCAUGUGAGUACCUGAGAAAGGUGGAGCUUGUCCCAGAGCGGCACAAAAUCAGCAGCAGCAUGAUCAAACAGGGUAAACUUCAGAAAAAGCAGUUUGUUGAGUUGUGAUCAGCAGUGAACUGAGAAUCAGCUGAGUGGCACUGAGUGAGUAAAUCUCUGACUGCCUCAGUUACCCCAUAUGGUAGUGGUGAAGAUGGGAGCAUUGAGAGAGUUGAUUUGGAAGGAUAUCAGGAGUGUGAACGUUCAACAUUUUAGUUCUUUUACGUUAAAUCCAGGCACUGUCUUUCCUGCAGGUCUCCUGUUUCUUUCAGAUUGCACAGGUGACAGUGCUCGGAUUAGGGCUGGAGAUCACGGGAAUACUGGCUCCCACACCACCGGUUCCCCUGUGUCGUGCAUGCAUUCUGUGCAUUUUCCUGUGCUAAACAUGGUCCCCAAACACCGUGGGGCCUGAUUCUUCCUCCUUGUUCCAGUGGCCCUGGGUGAUUCAAGUGCCUAUUCAAUGACCAGGACACAGAGGUCUUAGAGUGAUGCUCUGUGAGUCCCCAGGUGCCAGCCACUGCCCUGCCAAAGUGUGAGGCAAGGGACAGGGCAUCGUCUGCGGGGGCAGUGGUCAGCCAGGCUUGGUGGACAGAUGAUCCUACACCUGCCACCUCCACUGCCUCUGUGCCUGUUUGUCCUGCUGAUGCGCCAGUGGCUGCCCUGGCAUCCCAGCCUAGGCCCAGUGCCACUGAAGACAGACCUGGCCCCUGGGGACCCAGGAGUCCUGCAGGACUCACUCAGCUGUCCCCAGGAGUCCCCAGACCCUCAUUCUUAUCAAGGACCUAGGAGCCUUACCCCUGGCCCUCCAUCGUCAGCCAUGAAUGAUGAUUUGCUGCUGUUAUCAUCAUCACUGCCUUUAGUGGCCAAGGACCUUCCAAGGUGCCCGCUCUGGAAGGAAAGAUGUCCUUGGGAUGUGAUGACACUCGGUACACAGGUGCUCAGCAGGUUGCUUCCUCCUAUCCUCAGACAGUCUUUGACACAGCCAUUGACACUCACAUUGUGGGGAAGGAAACCAGCCCAGGGUCACACAGCUGGUCUCAAAUCUCAGGUGCCUGGGUCUUCCUCCACGAGGGACCUGCCUGCAAGGAAGGCUGACCCUGGCUUUGGGGAGCCUUUCCUGGGCUGCAUGAAUCACCUCCCCUGUUUGAGGCCCCAAAUUCUGCUCACAUCUCCUUCCUUGCCCUGUCUCUGCUUGGGCUAUAAUGAAGGUGACUCCAGCAACCCUUCAUGGACAUCAUGGUACUCUCUGCCAUUCACUUUUGGGCUAAUCUGACUUCAGCACCCACUUACUUGGUCUCUCCUUUUACAAACAAGACGACCCGCAUGCGAAUAGAAUUGAAUGCCAUGGUCGUGUUAUCCGUUUUGUUUUUGUUUUCCUUGUGUCUCAGGGUUGUUUUUCUAUUUGUGGUAAAGGCAUUGCUUUCCAUCUGUGGCAUGAAUAGAAUAUUUGCAGUUUACAGUAACUUUACAUCAGAGUAAAUGGUAAAGACACUGAAAGCAGUGGUUUUCAGCUGCGAGAGGCCUGAGCGAGUUUGCGCACACUGUGAUCAGGCAGGGGCAGGCCUGUGGGAAGUUUAGCUGAGGAUGGGGCCAGGAAAGCUAAUGGACAGUGGGGUCUGACCUGGUCACCAGACCCCUGGGUCCUGCCCACCAGCUUGGCACUCCCUAACCAUCACUCACGAUACCGCCAAACCCUCUGGGUAUUGUGGCCAAAUCCCCCAGGAAAGAGGCUGAUGAACUUUGUCUCCUGAAAUACACAGAUUCCUUGGACAUCCCUGGGAGCUCAACCGUGAGAGUCAACUUGAUUUUCUCCCCCUCAUUAGGGUUCAGAAUUAAAAGUCCACCCUCACAGGCAGUAAGAUAAUAUAGAUAAGUGACAUCAUCACCCUGUUUCAGAUGUUAACGUGUCUAGGUAUGUAAGGGGUGAUUUGAGACCACACAACCUUGUGCCACACAGUGGGAUUCCCGGGCCGGAGGGAGACAUUUGAUUGUCAUGUUACGAUCUUCUCACUGAGCGUAAAGUCAGUCUUGUUUCACUUUGGAUUCUUUCUUCCGUUGAUAUCUUAUAACGGCACUUUGAAUUUCCAAGCAUAUAAUAAUUUUUGGUUAGCUUUUAAUCACUGACUUCUAGCACAAUUCUGUGAUCAGAAACCUGCUGUGUGACUGGAUUUGUCUGAAAUAUAUUGAGAUUUGCUUGAUGAACAAAAUAAGUUGGGUUAAUUUUUGUAAAUGUAGCAUGCAUGCUUGAAACCAGCGUGGCUCCAGCAUUUGUACCCGAGAUACGGGAUGAUGGACGGAUGGCUCCCUGGAUGUGGUGGAGAUGGUUUACUAUUGGGACUUUCCGCAUCCUUCUGGUGUUUCGUUGCUUAGAAUAUGAAUGGCUGAGAGGGGGCCGUGGAGCUUCCACUCUGCUCGUGUGUGGGGUUCUUCCUGCCGUCCUGCCAUCAUCUGUUUCUUAGGUUUUGCAUCCAAGACUCACCGUGAGAAACCCUGGGAGCUCAGGAAGGAAGGAGCCGCCCAGAAGCAGGGACAGGAAGCUGGUGGCGAAGGCCAGAAAUCACGUCUGUGAAGGUUUCAGAGAGGACCUGUCCUUGGGAGUGACAUGGGGGGAUGAGACUGGGGAGGGGCAGUAGAGGUCGUGUGUGCUCCAUGGAAUGUCCAUUGUGACGUACCACAUUCCGGGGCCAGGGAUUGGUGGAGAGUUAGUAUAAAGCCCCAGGGUUGCUUAGGCAGCGCCCAGACAGGAGAAGGUGUGGCGGAAACCAGAGCGCUGGUCUCUGUCUCAUUGCUCCUGAGCCUCCCGCUUUCUUGCCCCACGUGCCCUGUGGCUUCCUGAUAGACUUUCUCUCUGACUUGUAGCUGAACCUCCCCCUGGCCCUUGAAGACUCAGUUUGAACCAGAUCCUUUCCCAGACCCACUCCUCCAGGUGCCCAACAUUCUCUCUUACCCUCCCUCUC